rnacentral:tRNA from 1 species
ACAAUUAGUAGUUUAAAGUAAAACACUGAUCUUGUAAAUCAGAGAUAAUACGAUUGUA